AACGAACGCUGGCGGCAUGCCUAACACAUGCAAGUCGAACGAGACCUUCGGGUCUAGUGGCGCACGGGUGCGUAACGCGUGGGAACCUGCCCUUAGGUUCGGAAUAACUCCCCGAAAGGGGUGCUAAUACCGGAUAAUGUCUUCGGACCAAAGAUUUAUCGCCUUUGGAUGGGCCCGCGUUGGAUUAGCUAGUUGGUAGGGUAAAAGCCUACCAAGGCGACGAUCCAUAGCUGGUCUGAGAGGAUGAUCAGCCACACUGGGACUGAGACACGGCCCAGACUGGGACGGUGAGCAGCAGUAGGGAAUCUGCCGCAAGGGGCGAGGGCCUGAAGGAGCAGAGGCGCGUGAGUGAGGAAGGUGUUAGGAUCGGAAAAAUCGGUUAUUAGGGAAGAACAAAUGCGUAAGUAACGAGGCACGUCAGGACGGUACCUAAUAAGAAAGCCACGGCUAACUACGGG
rnacentral:rRNA from 1 species